rnacentral:rRNA from 1 species
CCCCUAGACGUUCUGGGCUGCACGCGCGCUACAAUAAUACGCACAGCGAGUAUCACCGAGCUCGAAAGGGCAAGGUAAACAAUAGAAAAGGUACUGUAAUGGUUAUAGAUCCUUGUAAUUAUUGGUCUUCAACGAGGAAUUCCUAGUAAGUAUGUGUCAUCAUCACGCACUGAUUACGUCCCUGCCCUUUGUACACACCGCCCGUCGCUCCUACCGAUUGGGUGAGCCGAUGAAACUCUCGGAUGUAGGCUAUUCAUAGCCCGCAGAAGAGAUUUGAAUCGUAGCGCUUAGAGGAAGGAGAAGUCGUAACA